AUUUGAUAGUGUCUGUACUUACACUACUUUCACCCGAAAACGAAUUUUUGAAUUUUUGAAAAUCAAAUUCACACACCCAAAGUUCCAUUAAAAUCGAAUAUUCAAACCAUGAAUUAAAUUGGCAUAUAGAUGUCUAACAAGCUAUGAUAAUCUUCUGUCGGAGUGACGGUAACGUGACGUGACUUCUCCGAAUCAACUAACACGGGUGUAAAAAAUGGUAAAACGAUACUACGACUUAAAAUGUUAGAAGUUAAAUCCUAAUCUAUGGUUCAAAAUACACAUUAACUUACAAACAUGCAUACUCUCUUAAUUCGUGGUACAGACAGUCCUCAGAAACAGCUGGUUGGUAACCCGUGAUAAACCGUCCUUAUAGUAUUUUUUAAUUUGUUUAUUUCUAUAAGCAUAUUUUAAUAACGCGAUUGUAUCAAUAAUCCGUGUUCCUAAUACGUAGAUUCUGCUAUGCUUACCACUUCCCUCUUGAAUUGGAUAUUGGAAUUAUUCGAAUUGAUUCCCAGAUGAUUUUAUAAGUAAUUUCAAUUUUCCUUCCCAUUUUUUACAGAAUUUGGUCUGUCUACAUAAGAGAAAAAUGUCACAAACUGAGAAUGUAUGUACUAUUAUAUAGUAGAUAUACUGUAAUGUAGGUCACAAAAAGUAAAAGAAAAAUUUAACGUAUAGUUUCGACCCGAAAACGACGGAGCUGGCCGGUUGUACGUUUCGGCGCCCGACGCACUGUAGUUGACAUUAAUCGUUCGCAGUUUGGAAAAAAAAAAUCUCAUUAUAAGAGCACUUCGGUAGUAAAUGUUCGCGGCACUAUAUUAGGUAUUAUAUUAAAUCGUUAGACAGAAAUUCCGAGGAGUUUCACUACCACCCUAACCUCCUCCUCACGGCUAGCUGUGAUGUAGAACAAGAAUGAAAACAAUUUUAACGGAUUCGGAUGAUACGAAUGGUAUAUUAUUGUACACCAAAAUGAAAUCGGCAUAAUUGCAUUUUUUCCGUCGUAAUAUAUUAUUUGCAUUCACGUACACGUUAUUGUUGUUCCUAUGUGCGUGAAAAUCGUAUAACACACGAGAUUCUGAUGAUGGGGCACAUUAUAAGGUUACGAUGUUGUUGGUUUUGUUUUGUUUUUUUUUUUAUUUCUAUUGCAAAACGGAAGACUCGAUUAGUACUACAUGAUUAAAUCAAAAAGCCGCGCAUACUUCACACCGAGGAUAGACUUCUGCCAAAGUUGCAUAGUUGAGACACUUAAAAGACAUGGAGAUAUAAGACGAUUGCAAUCAUAAAAACAUAAAAACGAUUCUGAGGGGAGCUCGGUAAACUGGCCAAAACCGAUGAUGUAUAAUCAUAAUUUAUUGUUGGCAGUUAUUACAUUUUCAUACAAAACAAUUUUUUUUUAGCAAAACUAUCGUCGAUCUAAUGAAAUUGUUCGAGUAAAGACCACCGAGGAGAAAUGAACAGCGUCUUUCAAGAUUUAAAAAAUCUAAUCAUUUUUACAAACUGAAAAGUGUUUUCCAAAGUAAAAAAAAAAACACAUACCUAGUAAAACCAAUUCGUUCAUCAUACGCGCUCAGAAUAAAAAGAAUAAGAAUAAUAUACCCCAACAUGAAAAUUAAUAAUCUAGUUUUUCUCACAAUAUUUAAGAUACUUCUAUUUUUUUUUUUUUUUUUUAUGCAUUAUUUAUUUAUUUCAUUUACGUUUUGUUUUUUGGCGACGUCUGAAGACGAAAAUUCAGUUUUUUGAUAUUUUACUACGCUGAUAGUUGCAAUUUUUUUUUUUUUUGUAUUUAGAAAUAUUAUUACAAUACGACAACCAGAAACUUUUUUUAAGAAUCAACAUUAUAAAAUAGAUGAAUUUUAAAAAAAUAAUAACAAUAAUAAUGUAAAAGAUGUCGUUCUCCAACAAUGGCCGUUUUGUGAACGGUUUUGCAGCGUAAAAUGUGGGCGAGUAUAAUAUAAAAUUUAAAAAAUAAAUUAAUUACACACUAUAAAAAAAAACAGAUGACUUAGCAAAUAUAUAAUAUAUAAGUAAUAGGUGUAUAGCGAAAACGAUGCGUUUCACCUUCGCACAAUCGUUAUGUAUUAUUAUUAUUAAACAGAAAAAAAAAACAAAAAAAUUGUGUAGUUAAAAAAUUAUUAUCGUUUGUACAUAAAUGAACGAACGCCGCCGGUGGCGAAUUUCGAACUUCAAUUCAUUAGCUCGUGUAUCGUAUAGUGUAUAAAUAGUAUAAUUAUAAUAGGUUAAGCACAUAAAAAAAUAUUAAAUCGUUCGAUAUAUACGGGGUGAUCACGGUUAUGUUUAUAUCAAAAAACAAAUACACGUCUAUUAUAAACGUAUCCAUACGAAAUUUUCUGUUAAAUUUUAUUUCGAUAUUAUCGUUUAUGAUUCUAAUUUACGAAAAUUAUUUUCGAACAUUAUAUACUCUCGUUUCGUGUACACGUACACGUUACCGUCGUAUGUCAUUCACCUUUUUAAAUAUAAUCGCUGAUUCGUGGUUAAAAAAAAAAAUUUAAAUCGCUCUGUAUAUUAUAGACGCAUGUUUUUUUGCAUAUAUCAUAUCCGUAAUAUUAUAAUGUAAAAAUAAUAUAAUUACCUACGUUUGACUCUGUAUAUAUAUA